CCUUCGGAGUGUUAAAUAAACAGGAGUAGAUUUUUCGAAACUGGACACGAUGAACAAGGAA
rfam:[Clostridium] paradoxum JW-YL-7 = DSM 7308 strain JW-YL-7 ctg1, whole genome shotgun sequence.